rnacentral:rRNA from 1 species
GUACUAAGGUAGCAUAAUAACUAGCCUUUUAAUUAAAGGAUAGAAUGAAAGAACCAACGAGCUAACAAGCCGUUCUUUAUAAUAACAAAGAAAUUAUUAAUAAGGUAAAAAAACCUUAUCAUAACAGGAAGACGACAAGACCCUGAUGAACUUUAACAAAACGUUUGGCUGGGGCAGCCAUAAAAUAAAACCUUAUUUACAACCACCACAAUUAAGAAAAAUACAAGACCGAAACAAGUUACCACAGGGAUAACAGCACUAUUCCCUUCAAGAGCACUGAUCAAAAAAGGAGAUUAUGACCUCGAUGUUGAAUUACCUAUAAUAUAUGAGCAACCCCAUACCGUAAUGGUCUGUUCGACCAAAAACAGGUACAUGAU